GCUAAGGCGUGGAUGGGACCCCCAGGGCCAGGGCUAGGGAACCUCGCCCUGCACCAGCCCCAGUCAGACGCCGCUCCUCCAACUACCGCGCUUAUGCCACGGAGCCGCAUGCCAAGAAAAAAUCUAAGAUCUCCGCCUCGAGAAAAUUGCAGCUGAAGACUCUGCUGCUGCAGAUUGCAAAGCAGGAGCUGGAGCGAGAGGCGGAGGAGCGGCGCGGAGAGAAGGGGCGCGCUCUGAGCACCCGCUGCCAGCCGCUGGAGUUGGCCGGGCUGGGCUUCGCGGAGCUGCAGGACUUGUGCCGACAGCUCCACGCCCGUGUGGACAAGGUGGAUGAAGAGAGAUACGACAUAGAGGCAAAAGUCACCAAGAACAUCACGGAGAUUGCAGAUCUGACCCAGAAGAUCUUUGACCUUCGAGGCAAGUUUAAGCGGCCCACCCUGCGGAGAGUGAGGAUCUCUGCAGAUGCCAUGAUGCAGG
rnacentral:sRNA from 1 species